rnacentral:misc_RNA from 1 species
AAGUCGUAACAAGGUCUCCGUUGGUGAACCAGCGGAGGGAUCAUUACAGAGUUAUCUAAACUCCCAAACCCAUGUGAACUUACCUAUGUUGCCUCGGCAGGAGCCUACCCGGUACUUACCCGGUAGCUACCCGGGAACUACCCGGUAAACUACUACCCGGUAAUUGCUGGAUAGCCCUGUCAGAGGACCAUUCAAACUCUUGUUUUAUUGUGGCACUCUGAGUAACUAAAAGUAAAUAAGUUAAAACUUUCAACAACGGAUCUCUUGGUUCUG